rnacentral:rRNA from 1 species
GAUGAACGCUGGCGGCGUGCCUAAUACAUGCAAGUCGAGCGAACAGACGAGGAGCUUGCUCCUCUGACGUUAGCGGCGGACGGGUGAGUAACACGUGGAUAACCUACCUAUAAGACUGGGAUAACUUCGGGAAACCGGAGCUAAUACCGGAUAAUAUAUUGAACCGCAUGGUUCAAUAGUGAAAGACGGUUUUGCUGUCACUUAUAGAUGGAUCCGCGCGGCAUUAGCUAGUUGGUAAGGUAACGGCUUACCAAGGCGACGAUGCGUAGCCGACCUUAGAGGGGGAUCGGCCACACUGGAACUGAGACACGGUCCAGACUCCUACGGGAGGCAGCAGUAGGGAAUCUUCCGCAAUGGGCGAAAGCCUGACGGAGCAACGCCGCGUGAGUGAUGAAGGUCUUCGGAUCGUAAAACUCUGUUAUUAGGGAAGAACAAAUGUGUAAGUAACUAUGCACGUCUUGACGGUACCUAAUCAGAAAGCCACGGCUAACUACGUG